rnacentral:rRNA from 1 species
AUGAAGCUGAACAUCGCGAACCCCACCACGGGGUGCCAGAAGAAGGUCGAGAUCGAUGACGACCAGAAGCUGCGGAACCUUUAUGACAAGAGAAUCUCCCAGGAGGUAGUUGGUGAUCUUCUGGGUGAGGAAUUCAAGGGUUACAUCUUCAAGAUCAUGGGUGGCUGUGAUAAGCAGGGCUUCCCAAUGAAGCAAGGAGUGCUAACUUCUGGGCGUGUCCGCCUUCUGCUUCACAGGGGCACACCUUGCUUCCGUGGGUUUGGCAGGCGCAACGGUGAGCGCAGGAGGAAGUCUGUCCGUGGUUGCAUUGUCAGCCAAGACCUGUCUGUUAUCAACUUGGUGAUUGUCAAGAAGGGUGAGAAUGAUCUGCCAGGUCUGACCGACACUGAGAAGCCCAGGAUGAGGGGACCCAAGAGGGCUUCCAAGAUCAAGAAGCUCUUCAACCUUGGCAAGGAUGAUGAUGUCCGCAGCUAUGUCAACACAUACCGCAGGACCUUCCUUAACAAGAAGGGCAAGAAGGUGAGCAAGGCUCCCAAGAUCCAGCGUCUUGUGACUCCCUUGACCCUUCAGAGGAAGCGCGCCAGAAUCGCAGACAAGAAGAAGAGGAUCGCCAAGAAGAAGUCAGAGGCUGCCGAGUACCAGAAGCUGCUUGCACAGAGGCUGAAGGAGCAGAGGGACCGCCGGAGCGAGAGCAUGGCCAAGAGGAGGUCGAAGCUGUCUGCUGCCACCAAGGCUCCUGCUGCCUCUGCUUAA